rnacentral:rRNA from 1 species
CCUACGGGGGGCAGCAGUAGGGAAUCUUCGGCAAUGGGCGAAAGCCUGACCGAGCAACGCCGCGUGAAUGAAGAAGGCCUUCGGGUUGUAAAAUUCUGUUAUAAGGGAAGAAAGGUGAUAGGAGGAAAUGACUAUCAAUUGACGGUACCUUAUGAGAAAGCCACGGCUAACUACGUGCCAGCAGCCGCGGUAAUACGUAGGUGGCAAGCGUUAUCCGGAAUUAUUGGGCGUAAAGAGCGCGCAGGUGGUUAAUUAAGUCUGAUGUGAAAGCCCACGGCUUAACCGUGGAGGGUCAUUGGAAACUGGUUGACUUGAGUGCAGAAGAGGGAAGUGGAAUUCCAUGUGUAGCGGUGAAAUGCGUAGAGAUAUGGAGGAACACCAGUGGCGAAGGCGGCUUCCUGGUCUGCAACUGACACUGAGGCGCGAAAGCGU